CGCCGAAACAACACUGAAAUAACGUUAAUACAGCACUUUUGUUGAUUAUCAGAGCUCUUUUUUUUUAAAUGUGGAUAGAGUGAACAAUAAAAACGCUGGGACGCGAUAUUAAACGGUUGCUUACAACUGUCAUAACCUGUUCAGGUCUUCGCCGCGCGGAGGUUAGCGAUUAUUCUGGUUUCUCUUUGACCCAGACAUCAUCUUUCCAAGGGACAAACUGAAAUUAAACAGCUCUGGUCAUGUGACUGUUUACACCCGCCA
ensembl:lncRNA